rnacentral:rRNA from 1 species
UACAGAGGUCCCAAGCGUUGUUCGGAUUCACUGGGCGUAAAGGGUGCGUAGGCGGUCGGGUAAGUCUGAUGUGAAAUCUCACAGCUUAACUGUGAAACUGCAUUGGAUACUAUCCGGCUCGAGGAAUGGAGGGGAGACUGGAAUACUUGGUGUAGCAGUGAAACGCGUAGAUAUCAAGUGGAACACCAGUGGCGAAGGCGAGUCUCUGGACAUUACCUGACGCUGAGGCGCGAAAGCCAGGGGAGCAAACGGG